rnacentral:rRNA from 1 species
UACAGAGGUCCCAAGCGUUGUUCGGAUUCACUGGGCGUAAAGGGUGCGCAGGCGGCGGGGCAAGUCGGACGUGAAAUCUCGGGGCUUAACCCCGAAACUGCGUUCGAUACUGCCCUGCUUGAGGACUGGAGAGGAGGCUGGAAUUCCUGGUGUAGCAGUGAAAUGCGUAGAUAUCAGGAGGAACGCCAAUGGCGAAGGCAAGUCUCUGGACAGUUCCUGACGCUCAUGCACGAAGGCCAGGGGAGCAAACGGG